rnacentral:rRNA from 1 species
GACGAACGCUGUCGGCGUGCUUAACACAUGCAAGUCGAGCGGAGCGGCGAACGGGUGCGUAACUCGUGAGUAACUGCCCCCCUCUCUGGGAUAACAGUUGGAAACGGCUGCUAAUACCGGAUAGUGGGGGAUGACUCGCGUCCUAUCAGCUUGUUGGUGGGGUAGUGGCCUACCAAGGCGACGACGGGUAGCCGGCCUGAGAGGGCGACAGGCCACAUUGGGCGGAGGUACGGACCAAACUCCUAAGGGAGGCAGCAGGGGGGAAUAUUGCACAAUGGGGGAAACCAUGAUGCAGAAACGACGCGUGCGGGAUGACGGCAGUCGGGUUGUAAACCGCUUUCAGCCAUGACGCGGUAGUGGCAGAAGAAGCACCGGCUAACUACGUGCCAGCAGCCGCGGUAAUAC